GACGAACCGUGCGAACGUUGUUCGGAAUCACUGGGCUUAAAGGGCGCGUAGGCGGGCUGCCAAGUCCGUAGGUGAAAUCCCCCGGCUCAACCGGGGAACGGCCUCGGAUACUGGCGGCCUGGAGGGGGGUAGGGGCGUGCGGAACUGUGGGUGGAGCGGCGAAAUGCGUUGAGAUCCACAGGAACUCCGGUGGCGAAGGCGGCAUCCUGGACCGACACUGACGCUGAGGAGCGAAAGCCAGGGGAGCAAACGGG
rnacentral:rRNA from 1 species